rnacentral:rRNA from 1 species
UACGUAGGUGGCAAGCGUUAUCCGGAAUUAUUGGGCGUAAAGCGCGCGCAGGUGGUUUCUUAAGUCUGAUGUGAAGGCCCACGGCUCAACCGUGGAGGGUCAUUGGAAACUGGGAGACUUGAGUGCAGAAGAGGAAAGUGGAAUUCCAUGUGUAGCGGUGAAAUGCGUAGAGAUAUGGAGGAACACCAGUGGCGAAGGCGACUUUCUGGUCUGUAACUGACACUGAGGCGCGAAAGCGUGGGGAGCAAACAGG